UGCAUAUCAAUAAGCGGAGGAAAAGAAACCAACAGGGAUUGCCUCAGUAACGGCGAGUGAAGCGGCAAAAGCUCAAAUUUGAAACCCUCGGGAUUGUAAUUUGAAGAUUUGGCAUUGGAGAAAGCUAACCCAAGUUGCUUGGAAUAGUACGUCAUAGAGGGUGACAACCCCGUCUGGCUAACCGUUCUCCAUGUAUUGCCUUAUCAAAGAGUCGAGUUGUUUGGGAAUGCAGCUCAAAGUGGGUGGUAAACUCCAUCUAAAGCUAAAUACUGGUGAGAGACCGAUAGCGAACAAGUACUGUGAAGGAAAGGUGAAAAGAACUUUGAAAAGAGAGUGAAAUAGUAUGUGAAAUUGUUGAUAGGGAAGGAAAUGAGUGGAGAGUGGCCGAGGUUUCAGCCGCCCCUCGUGGGCGGUGUACUGCCGACGCCGAGUCAUCGAUAGCGAGACGAGGGUUACAAAUGGGAGCGCCUUCGGGCGUUCUCCCCUAACCCUCCACACUCGACAUAUUCCACCCAUUUCAUCCGUUUUG
rnacentral:rRNA from 1 species